UCCAUCAUCUUCAGGGCCAAACAGAGGCUGUGGGUUGAGCGUGAAGGCAGUUUUGGGCCCACAGGCUAACAAAACAAUGGACCUUUGGAACAACCCAGGUGGAAUUCCAAGCCCCAUGUUCUCUCCAAGGGGUGCCGCAUAAGCAGGAAACAAGCCAGCCAGAGCUGUUAUGAUGCUUUUAACACCACUUUAAUCUUCAGAAAGGCAAUCUUCAGAAUGGCUGAAGUUUCCAGAGGAACGCCAGGAAAAUGUGACUAGAUGAAACACGCACACACAUGGGACUAAUCUUUACCCCCUUGUGGAUGACUUCUCAAAUCAGGGCAAAUGUUUACCUCUAUUUGAAAUGGGACAGGAAGGAGGACCUGGGUAUUCCCCACCAGCAAGUCAUGGAAAAGACCCAACCCUUUCUUAUUUGAGAACCCUUUUCUUUCACUGGCUGUUGCAUAGCAGCAUUCCCCACCCCCCUUAUUCCAAGUUGGUGAUCUGCUGCCAAUGGCAUGAAGCCCCACCGUUGACUCCAGGGUUGGAAAGCAGGAAGAACAGCCAAGUUCUCCGAUUGCCCCAUUGGGGGCUGUAUUUGAAGUGAACUGAAACAACGCUUAAUAAGACUUUGCCGUGAUGCUUGUUUAUAGCUCUUAAGAGGCCCCUGGGAGGAGAAGAAUCCAUAUCUUUGUAAUCAUGACAUAAAAUCCAUAAUGGCUUCUAGGUUUGUCCAGAGUGCAGAGGGUGAGGCUGACUCCAAACACAUGCUGCUGUUGCUCCUUCUCUCUUGUGGAUGAGCCCAAGUGUCCGAAGAACUGUUCUGUAGCCUGAGUCGCCAGAUGGCGCACACACGCUAUUGCUAUCGGCUCUUGCUAUGGAGGAGACCUGGGAUCUUGGAAGAAACAGCAUCGUGGUGCUGCUGUGGUGGUUUGGUUCAGCUUUGUUGGGGAAACUGAAGAAGGCAAGAGGACUUGGCCUCAAGAGGGUUGGUUCUCCAAGUUGCUUGGGAGACCAAUCCAAGGGAUUUUUGGAAAUGAAAAUGGGCACAGCUGGGCAUCAGUUGCUGAAUGAUUAUAAUUGAAAUGGAGCCAUGUGGGAAAGGACCUGGCUGGCAAUGCCAUUAAUUCUAAUGCAGUUGAUGGGCACCUUGUUGGGAAGGGCAGGUCUAUAUCCCCACAUGCUGCAGAUGCACUAUUGGGGCGUUGAUUUUUUGUAAUGUUUUGAUUGCAUUUGAUAUGUGGAGCAAGUAUUUUUGGUAUAAGUAGGUUCCUUCAGAAAAGGUGACCAUGUAUAUUGGCAACUCCCCCACCCCCUUGUAUGUGCUUUCAACUUACAUGGUUAUAGUAUGUGCAUUAUCCAAUAAUGUGUUUGAGAUUCCACCUACAUAACUAGUUUACCAGGGGCCUACAGUGUACUGAGCUAUGGUUCAAAAAAUGAUGGUUGGUUGAAUAACCUAUGAUUGUCUGGAUUCACCUUAUCCUAAGCCAUAAAAACCAAGAUUAACAAGGAACAGUAGCUAACAUAAAAUGCUAAACCAAAGUAAGUCGCACGAUGGCUUGGCACAAGGAGUGAACUAUAUGAACAUUAGCUUGUAAACAUGACUGUUCCAGCUCAUUUAUGGAUGACGAUGAUGACGAUAACGAUACGUUAAACGACACCAAGUCAGUUCUCCUGCCUGUCUCUUGCUGACUGCUCACCCCCAUCUAAAUCUCAGCCUUGUGCAUUGUGUCUCUUGUUUUUUUCCUGGAGAUGGGUGACUCUUGUGAAACUUUUUUUCUGAAAUGACAAUGUGGAAGCCGAUAUUACAUGAGUGACUUGUAAAUCAGAAAAGCGCUUAAGAAAACAUUAAACUUCGUUUU